UCACCAUGUAUUUCUUACGUUUACACCAGCCUUAUUCUAAUUCAGUCCUUGCUGGAAGAUUACAUUAUUCAUCGAAUUUAACUUCUGAAGUGUUUCAAUUUUUCUCAGCCAUCAAUGUUAAUCAAUAUCAAUUAUAAAUCCUAGCUAUCCUCCAAUCUUCUUCACUGCAUCAUCUGUUCAUUUUCUUUCAUUUUCUUCGUUUAAACUUGGAGACUCUUCUUAAUCUAAUUUCUAGGUUUUCGUCAUUCCAUUUGGCGAUACGGUGAUUUGUAUAGUUAGACCUUCAAUCCCUUUACCUCUGGAAUUUAGAGCUAUGUGUAGCGUCAAAAAGGAGUUUUGAAUUUGGGGAUUAUGAAAAAAAUACUGAGAUUAAGUUUGGAUUAUGAUUGCUUAAUUCUAUUUUUGCUGAGAUUAAUUGCUCUUAGUUGUAUGUUCUAUGCAAUUACAUUGGUUCUCUGAUUAAUGGUUGGUAUUGUUUAUGAGUAGUUUUAAGGUUUAACCUAGGUACUCAUUUAGUUUUUUGUUAUUGUUGUUGUUGUCGUUGGUGUGCUGAAUUUAUGUGUGGUACUGAUUUGAGUAUUUGUUCCCCUAAGGAUUUUGGGUGUGCCUUAUUUAAGAUCUAACUAUCAGAAUCUUGAGUAGUUUUAAGGUUUGACCUAGGUACUCAUUUAGUUUUUUUGUCAUUGUUGUUGUUGUUGGUGUCCGUGGUACUGAUUUGAAUUUUUUUCCCCUCAGGAUUUUGGGUGUGCCUUAUCAGAAUCUUAAUUGUGUGGAUAAAGCUAGAGAUUUAAAAUGAAAAGAGUUUAUGAAGUGAAAACGAUCAUUUGAUCUGAAGUGAAGGGUCUCAUUGUAAGGUGGUUACUUUGAAGAUUUUCUUCGAAUAGUUAAAAGAAACAUGGUUUCGGGGAGUUGUACAAAAGGAACAGGUAGUCUGGGUUCUAUAUCCAGAUAACUGUGAACCAGCUAAAAAUCACUUGGAAAGUGGUAAUCAUAUUUACAGCUUGAUUUUAACAGUUAGGUUCAAGCUUCAUUGUGAAGUCUCGGCACCAUAUCGGUCAACCGCAUUUGCUGCACUGGAUAGUGAGAUAAAAGGGUAGUGUGGUCCAGGACUACGUUGGAUAUAGUCAUUACCGGAGAGGAGGAAGGCAAGGCUAAGGUGGUUGCAUCUUUUGUAGAGAUAUUGAAUACCGAACAAUGCUUAACGCGUUCAACAUGUAGAAGAAAGCGACUCAUAGCCUUCAGAAUGACUCGCGAAAUCCUUUAAGAUAACAUCCUGCGCCUAACACAAACCAAGGGAUUCCCAUUGUCAAGAAUGGGUCUCCCUGGAUCCGAGGAUGAAAACCCUCUAAAAAGGCACGCCGUGGGCAAAAUAUGGUGAUCCUCUCUGUGAUUUCCCUAUAUUAAGAUUGAAAGGAGGGACGUGAUAUCAAAUAUGGUUUCCAAUAGUCGUGUGACCGCAACUACAGUCCUGCGGUGGUUCUUUAAACCUUUGAAGUUGAAAAUGUGUAAUCCUAAGUCCCUAAGUUCCUUUUGUUGGUUAAUUAUUUUGCGCUCAGAUUUCCUUCUUUUGACAUUUCCAAUGUCUGUUUCAUGCCUAACAUGACUUGCAUCAGUUCGUUCUGAACAAUGUAAUAAACUUUGCCACUAUAGUUGUUGACUUUGUCCUGUA